CCCCGGCGCUGCGUGCUGUGGGCGGCGGCGAUGGCGCGGCCCGGCGGCCCCGCGUGCGCGAGGCCCGGCCUGGGGGCGCAGGGCCGGACCACACCCCCGGGCCCGUGGGGCGCGGUGCCCGGCGGCCGAGCGGCUGGAGUCCUUGCCAGCUGGGACCCGGGCAUCUGAUAAGGAGAUGGAGAUGCUGACACCGUCGGGAGAAAGGUGAUUGCACCCAGUACAGCCCAAGCCAAGGCCAGAGUGAAUGACGGGCACCGGCUGGUCCAGUCCAGAUCUGGAUGCUGGGUCGCCCUGCAGCUGGUUCUCACUGGUGCAGCCAGUUCCCACUGCUGGGUGUGAAGUGCCUCGAUGCUGCCUGCAUGGGGGGUGGGGGCUGGGGCGCUGGGCUGUUCCUUGUUGUGAACUGCACACGUGCUUGGUUUCAUUGCCUAAGGCAAAAUGUAGAUGGUUAAGACAAAUGCUUGAGCAAACUGAUUUGAAAGUGUAUUGAGCUGGGUGCCAGUGUCUCACACCUGUAAUCUAGCUUACUCGGGAG